GAGCGCGGGGCGAGCCGAGGGGUUCAAGGGGAGCGGUUUGCCUCCCUCGCCCGGGCCGAGUGGACGUGCCGCCCGCUCGCCGUCUCCCUGUCGGAACAGCACCUUCUCACUAAAGCGAUCGGAGGUCGGGCCGGGAGGGCGGGGGACGGAGGCGGGUCAUGGGCUGAGGGGGAGGGUAGACGAGUGGCGGAAACCCUUAAACUCAGAGAAGCAUCGAGAACCGGAAGGAGACCUUAGGAGGAAGAAACUGGACACAGAUUGCUGUUACACCAGGGGACAGAGCUCUUAAGUGGCAGAAGUGGAAUUUGAAUAAACUGAUUAGUGAGGAACACUCGGACCUACCAAAACCUCUCAACAUACAGGGAGGACAAUGAAGCAAACUUGAAAGAAACCAGUUCCUGUUGCCCUAAUCUAAUGAGUUUCAACAAAGUAGUACACUGAAACUUUAUGCAAUAAAGCACAGAAAACUGGGAAAAAUUUGUGGCCAGA
rnacentral:lncRNA from 1 species